rnacentral:tRNA from 1 species
GCCCUCGUGGUCCCCUGGAGGGGACGACUGCCUGUCGAGCAGGAGGUGGCGGGUUCGAUCCCCGUCGAGGGCGCCA